rnacentral:rRNA from 1 species
GCUCACGGCCAUAUCAGCCUGGGUUCGCCCGAUCUCGUCUGAUCUCGGAAGCUAAGCAGGGUCGGGCCUGGUUAGUACUUGGAUGGGAGACCGCCUGGGAAUACCAGGUGCUGUAAGCA